AUUGAACGCUGGCGGCAUGCCUUACACUUGCAAGUCGAACGGUAACGGGCCUUCGGGUGCCGACGAGUGGCGAACGGGUGAGUAAUACAUCGGAACGUGCCCGAUCGUGGGGGAUAACGAGGCGAAAGCUUUGCUAAUACCGCAUACGAUCUACGGAUGAAAGCAGGGGACCGCAAGGCCUUGCGCGGGCGGAGCGGCCGAUGGCAGAUUAGGUAGUUGGUGGGAUAAAAGCUUACCAAGCCGACGAUCUGUAGCUGGUCUGAGAGGAUGAUCAGCCACACUGGGACUGAGACACGGCCCAGACUCCUACGGGAGGCAGCAGUGGGGAAUUUUGGACAAUGGGCGCAAGCCUGAUCCAGCCAUGCCGCGUGCAGGAUGAAGGCCUUCGGGUUGUAAACUGCUUUUGUACGGAACGAAAAGCCUUCUUUUAAUACAGGAGGGUCAUGACGGUACCGUAAGAAUAAGCACCGGCUAACUACGUG
rnacentral:rRNA from 1 species